rnacentral:rRNA from 1 species
AGUGAACGCUGGCGGCGUGCUUAACACAUGCUAGUCGAACGGAUGAAAUAAGCUUGCUUAUUUCGUUAGUGGCGUACGGGUGCGUAAUGUAUAGCUAACCUGCCCUUUAGUGGGGGAAAACAGUUGGAAACGACUGCUAAUAUCCCAUACUCCUUCUCAUCAUAAGGUAAGUCGGGAAAGAUUUAUUGCUAAAGGAUGGGGCUUUAGUGUAUCAGCUAGUUGGUGGGGUAAUGGCCUACCAAGGCGAUGGCGCAUACCUGGUCUGAGAGGAUGAUCAGGCACACUGGAACUGAGACACGGUCCAGACUCCUACGGGAUGCAGCAGUGGGGAAUAUUGCACAAUGGGGGAAACCCUGAUGCAGCAACGCCGCGUGGAGGAUGACGCAUUUCGGUGUGUAAACUCCUUUUAUAAGGGAAGAUAAUGACGGUACCUUAUGAAUAAGCACCGGCUAACUCCGUGCCAGCCGCCGCAGUAA